AUUGAACGCUGGCGGCAUGCCUUACACAUGCAAGUCGAACGGCAGCACGGGAGCAAUCCUGGUGGCGAGUGGCGAACGGGUGAGUAAUAUAUCGGAACGUGCCCAGUCGUGGGGAUAACGUAGCGAAAGCUACGCUAAUACCGCAUACGAUCUAUGGAUGAAAGCGGGGGAUCGCAAGACCUCGCGCGAUUGGAGCGGCCGAUAUCAGAUUAGGUAGUUGGUGAGGUAAAGGCUCGCCAAGCCGACGAUCUGUAGCUGGUCUGAGAGGACGACCAGCCACACUGGGACUGAGACACGGCCCAGACUCCUACGGAGGCAGCAGUGGGGAAUUUUUGGACAAUGGGCGCAAGCCUGAUCCAGCAAUGCCGCGUGCAGGAUGAAGGCCUU
rnacentral:rRNA from 1 species